GAGUUUGAUCAUGGCUCAGGAUGAACGCUGGCGGCGUGCCUAAUACAUGCAAGUCGAGCGAACGGACGAGAAGCUUGCUUCUCUGAUGUUAGCGGCGGACGGGUGAGUAACACGUGGAUAACCUACCUAUAAGACUGGGAUAACUUCGGGAAACCGGAGCUAAUACCGGAUAAUAUUUUGAACCGCAUGGUUCAAAAGUGAAAGACGGUCUUGCUGUCACUUAUAGAUGGAUCCGCGCUGCAUUAGCUAGUUGGUAAGGUAACGGCUUACCAAGGCAACGAUGCAUAGCCGACCUGAGAGGGUGAUCGGCCACACUGGAACUGAGACACGGUCCAGACUCCUACGGGAGGCAGCAGUAGGGAAUCUUCCGCAAUGGGCGAAAGCCUGACGGAGCAACGCCGCGUGAGUGAUGAAGGUCUUCGGAUCGUAAAACUCUGUUAUUAGGGAAGAACAUAUGUGUAAGUAACUGUGCACAUCUUGACGGUACCUAAUCAGAAGG
rnacentral:rRNA from 1 species